CGCGGUGCCAUUCCAUUGUCGCGAGGGCACGACCCUAGAGCUCACUCUCUCAUCUCAGCGACGCGCAGUAUAAAGCAACAACAUGAGUAACAUUACUGGAAGCAGUGUAGGAUCAACAUUUUUUUGCGAGACAGCGCGUCUGUUUUCUUUUUUUUUUCCCAUGAGGAGACAAGAAAAAAUCGGACCAGACUUUUGAAACGUGCAUGUCUUGACUAAAUAAUGUUGCUACUUAAUCGUCCGUUGAUUUGAUUUUAAAUAUGGUGUUUUUUUAUGAAUGAAAAUGUGAUGUUCGGAUUGAUUUCUGUGCUACAUUUCUGGAAGAAGCCGCAGAUGCCCACAGACAGUGGAUUAUAUUCUCACGUGGCUAACAGGGUUUGACACCUAACAUAUGGGAGCACGUGCUUUUGUUCCUACGUUUGAUGUAGACUCUCAAAUCAUAUUUGUCGUUAACAAUACUGGAAGUGAUGAUCGGAGCAAACCUUGAGUGCCUUUGAUGAACACUCACCUGCAUACCCUAGACUGUUGGCAGAUAAGUGUUCCGUUGGAAACAAAAGUGGAAGUCGGGAAAUAUCACUAUUUAAUUGAUGUCCACGUACAGGCAGAUGGAAUUCACGGAAGAACGUACACGGUACUCCGAAAAUGUGUGCAAAUAGAUUCAUUCGCGUCUGGAGCACCAACAAAAGUGAUGUGAUGUGCAUGUGGUAAACGCUGCUGAUUCGAUUGAUAUGAAUGCUUUUUGCCACCUUGAAAAUGUCUGAGAAGUUACUUUUCAUGUGGACGAAAGUUGACACCAGUCUUCAUGCAGGUCUUUCCUCCGGUACCACCACCUUUCUUAUGCCGUCUUGCAUACAACUUCAUAAAACCUCGCACACGAACGAUUACAGCUUCUCACCGGUACAAACUCAUCUUAGACUACCCUACACACUUUCUCAGAGAUUCCGACUCGAAAAGCAAGUUUACAGAAUCCCAAACACAAACCCACACAAUAGCACACACACUCGUCUUCACCCGCAAAGAAAUCUAUACAAUAAUUCUACUCACUCCACCUCCCACCAGCACCUCGUGGUGUGGUCAUGACGAUGAGCAAAAGCCUAGCUUCGUGUCUGGGUGUGCGCAUGUCCCAGCUGAAGGUCAUGUGUGGUUUGUCUCUCGAUUCCACAGCCAGGGAGGAGCGCGCCCUCAGCCAGGUGUCUGGGGAUCCAAUCCCUGUCAACAAGUUCCAGGCGGUCUACAGGCAAAGGCGGCAAAACAAGCAGCUGGCUAUCGAGUUCAAGAUGACCACAGCCGCGUCAUUGUGUGGGACAGACCAGUCUCUCUCUCGACAGAUUAUUACAACGCCAGUUUCAUCGAUGUGAGUUGAUUACCUCGCUCCUUUUGUCUUUGGAUGUCAAAAAUACCCUCUUCUUCCACUGGAGUGUCGUUUAUUCGUGAGAUUUAUUUUGUCGAACAACGUUGCUUCAAUUGUGGGUAAACGCGAAAGUAUAGAGAAAAUAAAAUACAUGAAAGGUUAA